UGGGGAUUAUUGGACAAUGGGCGAAAGCCUGAUCCAGCCAUGCCGCGUGUGUGAAGAAGGCCUUAUGGUUGUAAAGCACUUUAAGCGAGGAGGAGGGUACUGGUAUUAAUACUACCAGGUACUGGACGUUACUCGCAGAAUAAGCACCGGCUAACUCUGUGCCAGCAGCCGCGGUAAUACAGAGGGUGCGAGCGUUAAUCGGAUUUACUGGGCGUAAAGCGUGCGUAGGCGGCUAAUUGAGUCGGAUGUGAAAUCCCCGAGCUUAACUUGGGAAUUGCAUUCGAUACUGGUUAGCUAGAGUGUGGGAGAGGAUGGUAGAAUUCCAGGUGUAGCGGUGAAAUGCGUAGAGAUCUGGAGGAAUACCGAUGGCGAAGGCAGCCAUCUGGCCUAACACUGACGCUGAGGUACGAAAGCAUGGGGAGCAAACAGG
rnacentral:rRNA from 1 species